rnacentral:rRNA from 1 species
AAACUUUCAACAACGGAUCUCUUGGUUCUCUCAUCUAUGAAGAACGCAGCGAAAUGCGAUAAGUAGUGUGAAUUGCAGAAUUCAGUGAAUCAUCGAAUCUUUGAACGCACAUUGCGCCCUCUGGCAUUCCGGAGGGCAUGCCUGUCCGAGCGUCAUU